GCCUGUGACAUCAACAUUCUAGAAAGUGGGACAGGAGGGCCUGGAGUUAGAGGACAGUCUGGGCUAUGUAAUUUGACUAUGUCACAAAAGUGGGGAGAUAAAAGGGGGGAUGAGCGAAAAAAUGAAGGUGAAGGCUGUAUAGCAGGAUCAACCAUGGUGGUAGCUACUCCUGGAAGCUGUAAUUUGCCGAUUUGUAAUUUUUUUUCUGUAUUGUUAAAAUCUCUGCCCUGUCUGUCCUGUUCCUUAACCUCAUUCUUCAUUUCCCCCUCACGUUGGAGCUAGAUUCUCACAAGGUAGCUCAGGCUUCAGAUUCAGACUCUCUAGUGUUGGGAUUACAGGUAAUGAAGCUACUGUUGCUUGUCCAGGCCACACUUUCAGAAGUGUUGGUUUAGCAUGCCUGCCUGGAACACAGAAACUCAGAGACAGAAAGUGGACAACUGCCAUGGAACUGAAAGGACACAGAUUCCUGUCACCUGGUGGAUCCCAUGAGUCACAUGGUGGAUCCCAUGAGUCACAUGAUAGAUCCCAUGAGUCCUAAGCCACUGAACACGGCCACUCCAUCGCCCUCCACUUUGUCUUUGGGUGUUGCUGACCUGUGUGAACUCAUAAGUGAGGACUUAAAGUGCUCCCAGUGUCUUUCAUAGCCCUGCUUUGCUCUGGCUAGGCUAGCCUAGCUUACAGCAGCCCCAUGCAACAUCUCAUUCCCUCUACUAACAGCAGACCGAAGCUGUAAGAGGCAGGUAUGAACACCAGGGCCACCGCCCUCCACAGAGGCUACGCCCUGAGUGGGCCUCUUACUGUGCUCAAUGCCCUGUGAGUUGACCCAGCUGGAAUUGGUAAAUAAUACAGCUCUUCCCUUACCAGAACGUGCAAAGCCCUCACAAAGUGGAUUCCACGUUCCUUCGCCGGGAAUGGCUGCUCCAGUUCCACUAUGGAAAUCACAGACAGGAAACACAAGGCUUGGAGGUCUUCUGAGUCUCCUUCAGCUCUGUUCUCAAGUUUAAAGGCUCCAUAGUAUGCACGAUACUGUUGGGGAGGAAAAAUCGUCACACAGAUAAAGAAGGCUGACAGAAGGAAGGCAUUCCAUCAUGUUGUUUGUCUUAGCCUGGAAUUCUCACGCUAUGGCUGAUGGAUGUGGAUGAGGAGCCUGAGGAGGAGCCUGAGAGACCUCGGGGAGACGCAUCUGACUGACUCCCUCACGGCUGCUCUGCAGUCUCAGGUUCCAGGACGUUGCGAGACUACGAAGACCCCAGGCUUCCCCACAUUCUUUAGCUAGUGUCUUUACGUGCACACUUUUCUUUAUUCAGUCCUACCUACCUUCUGUCCACUAUUAUCAGUUUACUUAGAAAUAACUAGCAGACAUAUGGACACACCAGUGGAAUGGGGGUUUGAAUAGAAGUAAAAAGACAGGAAAUAUGAUCAUUAAAACUUAUGAGGUAACCAGAUGAAAGUCCUGGCCAUCUCAUGUAAAUUGGUCUUUUUCUUAAGGUAGAUUCUAUGUAAAAUGGGAGUAGGAGGUACCCAAAUAUAGAUGCCUGCUUACCUGUGUCCAGCCUCCUUCUAUGCCUUGAUGUCACCUGAGUCCUUGCAGUUUCCUCAGAGCUCUGUGAAGUGCCUCAAAUCAUGACUCUCCCUGCUCACCUUCAGGUCACACUGCUACCUAGAUAGGCACAACUCCAGACCACCAUCUGAGGCUGGAUACUUUUUCUUAUGGCAUUAGACUUCCCCUGCCUACUAGAUCCUAAAUCCACAAUGAAACAAAUCAACCCAAUGGAACCCAAACUUCAGAAAUCCAAAAUUAGUGGGAUAGUUGUGGUUAAGAGCACUGAAGGCCACCCAGGAACAUGUCUCAGAAAAGAUGCACGUUCCCAGAACCAAUCUUCUUAGCCUCUGACUCCCUCUCUGCAUCAUUUCAGAGCAUAAGUGUGUUUUACAUCACACUCACCUGAUACUGAUAUAUGGACACUGUCUCUCUUUAUUCCUGCUUCAUAAUAUUACUAUUGAGCAAUAAUAUUGACUAGUGACUACUUAGACCCUCCACUUCCUUGGCAUGGUUCUAUGUCUUUUAAGGGUUUCAUGUUCUUACAAAAGGCUUGUGUGUAAAGACAGUCAUCGUCUUCCUUUUACAAACCUGGAAAUGGGUUAAACAGACAAACAGCACUGUCCUUCAGAUCAACUUCAAAUAUUAUCCCUUCUAGGAGCCUCACUGAGAUGGUGGCUAAAGGUCUAAGCAUCCAGGUUAGAGUCUUCUCUUCAGACACAUGGCUUUCAGGGAAGAUGUGGUUUUCCUAGUUUUACGGGAAGGACACUGUGCCUGGUUUCCAGGAUUCUCAGGAAGUCAGAAUGAGGUGCUGUGAAGAAAGCUUCAAGAACAGGGUGUGUUACUUUCUCAACCAGAAGGUGGCCCUUUAAUCUGCCAAGUUCUCCUUUAGCCUUCACCAUUCUUUUCCCUUGUAGCCUGUGAAGAUGCAUAGGAUGUUUCUCUCUUCUUUAUCUCACUCAGCUACAGAGUGUGCUGGAUGAGGUAGGUAGGAUGAAGUCCAACAUCUACUGAAAGGAUAUGGCUCAGACCACAACCUUAUAUUGAUUUUAAAACCAAAGAUUUCACAGAUGUUAGUUUCCUCCUCAGAGAGGAGUGUGAUGAAAUGUAAUUCCAACCAAAAUUCCAACCAUGCAAGAAAGCUUGAUAAAGUAAUGGGUCUUUUAUAAUUAAAUAAAAACUUUUUAUUCUUUUCU
rnacentral:lncRNA from 1 species